GGGAUCGUCGUCCAACAGGAGGACACACGUUUCGCACGCGUGAAAUCAGGGUGCAACUCCCUGCGGUUCCA
rnacentral:tRNA from 1 species